rnacentral:rRNA from 1 species
GACAGAGGGUGCAAACGUUGUUCGGAAUUACUGGGCGUAAAGCGCGUGUAGGUGGCGAGGCAAGUCGGGUGUGAAAGCCCUGGGCUCAACCCAGGAAGUGCACUCGAUACUGCCUAGCUAGAGUCCCGGAGAGGUUGGUGGAACUCUCGGUGUAGAGGUGAAAUUCGUAGAUAUCGAGAAGAACACCGGUGGCGAAGGCGGCCACUGGACGGUGACUGACACUGAGACGCGAAAGCGUGGGGAGCAACAGG